UUUUGUCCCCUUAUCUUAAAUUUUCCUUUCUUAAAUUUUUAUUUAUUCAAACAAUAUUUCUCAAGUUCCUAAUAUGUGCUGGGCACUGUAUUAGGACCCAGAACAAACAAAAUAGACGUGGUGUCUAUUCUAGAACAAUCUGAUGGGUGUGGUAUCAGUGAUUUGUAUAGUUGGUUUCUGAUUGACAGUAAUCUAGUGCUAAAGUCACAGGAUAUUAAGUGGAUCACAUAUUCUUACAUGUUCCAGUUUUUGUAACAUGAGAGGGUAGAGCCAGAUAAGGGGGUCUCUCUGACUGACUGCCAAGGCGCCCCCCAGUUGCCUAGUGAAAUGCCUUGUCACCUGGGUGUGAUGUUGGGCCUGUAGUUCCCGAAGCUUAGAGGCCAGUGCUUCGUGAAAUACUUCCUGAAACGAGAGAGGACACGCUCAUGGUAACUAACAGGAGAAUGCUGUAAAUCCAAACGCUGAUUUUCUCCUUUUGAUGGUGAAUAGCCCUUUCCAUCUGCAAAAUAUCCAUUUUUUAUCACCCUGAAUGAAUCCUACCUAUAUUGGGGUCCCUGAGAGGCUGAAUUCAUAGUCAGAGGAAUAGUAAGUGUAGACGAAAUUGAAGUCAGGUUUUGUGGGUUGUCUUGAGGAAUCUUUUAUCCAGACCAUGUGAAGCCAGGCCCCAUGGCUGCGAGCCCACCGUGUGCCCUGAGCCUGUGUCUGGAUGGUGAGGGAACCUGCAGCCAGUUCCUUUCUAGGCCCCGUUCCCUGGGUUCCUAGAUGACCCCAUCGGUAUGCAAACCUCCCCAAGAUGGAGUUCAGUCCAGUCAGACCCUUAACUUAGCCGUCCCAUCUCUCUAAAGUGAUCUUUCUUGUCUCUGACCUCGUCCGUCGUGGCUUAUGAUCGCUGCCAGGCCCUGAGAGUUCUCCAGCUCCUCUUCCACCUCUGCCUGAUCUCAUCAUUCUCUCCACCUUGCCUGUCACUGCCUGCAACAGAACUGCAGUCCUUACGUAAUCCGUGAGGUUUUUUGUUUUGGGCUUUUUGUUUGGUUGGUUGGGCCUUUCCAUUCCUUCAUCCAUUUAAUCCAUUUCUACUCUCUUUACUGAUCAGCUAAAUUUUAAGGAAGUGCUUUGAACUGAAUUCAGCCCAAGCUUUCAGACAAAGAAGAUCUGGUUCUUAAUCAUGACUGAGACUCCCAGGGUCGAGUUUGAAAAUAUCAAUAACACCCAUGUUUCAGUCUUUCCUCCUUCCCAGGGGCCCUUGCUGCCCUGAGCCAGGUUGGUCUCCCUGCUUCCAGAUGCCCCCUCCUUAACCCCGGGGUCCGGGAGUGCUUGACUUCCAGCCGUCUUGAUUUCUGUGCCCUUGUUAUGGGAGUCUUUGAAAGGUGGUAAGGUAAGCAGCCACUGCUUCGCUUUCCUAAGUCUGGACCUUUGUUUGGAUGUCUUUACGUUUGCAAAAGAAUGCCUACUUAAGCCUCAUACUUUUUUUUUCUUUUGUUUUUUUAAGGCCGUACCUGUGGCACAUGGCAGUUCCUGGGCCAGGGAUUGAAUUUGAGCCACAGCUGCAACUUGAGCCGCAGCUGCUGGCAAUGCUGGAUCCUUGCACUGGGGAUGGAACCCGAGCCUCUGCGGUUGGGUUCUUAACCCCACUGCUCAGUGGGAACUCCAGCUUCAUACUUUGAUAUUAUAUUCCUGACCAUUUGACCUCAUCUCUCCUGGCGGCACAGAACUGAAUUUCUUUUGGACUAUGAACGGUGACUUCACACUCUGGGCUUCAUCAUCCAUUCACCACCAUCUGUUGCUAAAUGCAGACUCUAGAAUUGAACCCCACACGCUUCCUGCCUGGGAAUCUAGUGCAUGAUAUCAUCUUCGUCAUUACUUUUGAGAUUGCCUACCUUGGGGAAUUAAUGUCCUGGCUAGUGGCGUUUUCACUUCCCACUUUAGGACUUUUGGGUAUGAUGUGUUUUUCAGAACUGUCCAGUGUAUUAAUAAUAGACAAGAACUGGCGUCACAUGAGCACAUGGGGCCUUGAAUAUUAAGGUCUCUGGGGAUUCAGAAGAGCAAAUUAUAGAGUACAUUUUAUGUCUUGGAAAGGGAGUGAGACUAUAAUGAAUUUUUAAGUUAGCAAAUUGCUUAGUCUCCUGAGGCCCUGCAGCUUGCCGAGGUUACAGGGGUAAAAGGCACCUGCACAGAGGAAUUUCUAGGUCAGAACCAACAUUUAAAGUAGUGGUGUGUUAAUGCUUGAAAAGAAAUAAUGCCUGCAUUUUUUAUGACGUGUAGCUUUUGCAGCUGGAUCUAAUGAACGAUGCUCCAAGAAACUGAGCCAUUUUCCAGGCUGCUGUUUCCAUUAGUUACGUCCUGUGCCAUAGAGCCCAUAGCCCAUUCUUAAAUUAAAGACAGCUUUGCUAAAAGGACAGCCCAGUACAUGAAUGUGAGUGGAGGCCUGUGGCAAAUGCCCAGGGCCCCCAGUUUUUUAAAAACCUUGCUAGUCUUAUUUGGCUAUUUAGUCAGCAGUUUAACUUAAAAUCAAAUACAGUUUCAAAGAUUCUGAGUUCAUGGGGCUUUUUGAAAAAUGAAUCCUCAUGUGAUUAGUGUUUGAUUAGAAGUGAUCAAAGAGGACCGUUUUCCUCACAAUGUCAAGUGGAGAUGUGUCAUCAAAAAUAAGAGCAGAGCUCAAAGGUCAAUUAAAGAUUCCAUGACGUGUCAUGAUAUUAGCUCAGAAGAAUGUGGGUUUAAAAAGAGAAAUAAAGUAUUUUGGCGUCUUCAGCAAUAGGCUAGAGAAGUUAUGACCUAAACUCAAAUGUAGUCCUAAAGACCAUAGUUUUCUAAGGGACCAAAACCAUGGAAAUAAAGAAUAUAUACUCUACUCCAUGCCCAUGAGAGGAGACGCUAUGGACACUGACUCUUGGACAGGCUGGCUACCUCCUGCCACCGUGUUUGAUGGUAGGCCUUGACUGCACAUCGUCCUAUGAACGUUGUUGCCCAGAUCAUGAUAGGUCUUGUCCUCCCUUAAAUGUCCCUCCAUGUCAGGUACCCCCAAGGUGCUGUCUGCUGUGCUCAGGUUCUAGCCACUCUUCUGCUCUCACCUCCUUGCUGAGCCCUUCUGCUGCCCUGGAAACAUCUGGGCACAGGGCCAGUUCUGCUGGUCUUUGGGUCUGCUGUGGGCUGGGGUGGGCUUCUGCUCCAUGCCCUUCUGUUGCAUGGCUGACCCUGCUCCCUCACAACUCAGACCAGAGCCUUGGACAGUGAGGGCAAAGACUCCAUCUUCUCCUUUCCAUCUCUUGGUCUUCCUUUCUCUGGACACCCCUACUAACCCAUAAAAAACUGCUUCUUGCCCAAAAAUGAACCCCUUCAAUUACCAACUCAUGCCAGACUUCUGCAAGUAUCACUAGGUCACCAGUUCUGCAAACCACAAUUAAUUGGACACAGACUCCCCUGCUGCAAGUCAGUUUUGCUUGAAAAACAGGAUAUGCAGGAGCCGUGGAAGUACACUUGCCAAAGGAAGAGUGAGUUUUCAGACAAGCAUAAAGGACAAACAGGAUUCCUCCAAGGAAUGUUAAUACCUUUUGAUCGAUCUUUGAGAUUCUCUGCAGGCCACGAUAAAUAGAACCUUCUUUAUUUCUCCCUCAUUCCUCUGCACUUCACCUAAACACUGUAAAAAGAUACAAAGACUGCAGAAAGUUUGAAAUGGAACAUUCAGUGUUUCUACCCUCAAAAAGUAACCCCACCCCAAAUUAUCAAUCACGUAUCUUUCUUUCUCAUGUGUGUACCCUUGCUCCUCUCUCUCUGUACAUGCGCAUACAUUCUGGAUGUUGUGUAAUAGAUCUUCCCUCUUUAUCGACAUAUGUAGAUAGACCUUAUUUUUAAUACGUAUAUUGUUUAGUAUAUUAUGUAGGAGUAUUAUAAUGAAUUAUGAACUAUUGUAUUUAGAAACAAAGCAAUAUACCACAGGAUUAUCUGUCCUAAAUAACUGAAGGCCUGCCUAUGUCACAAUGCAUUUUUCAGGAGAAUCAAGUCAAAAUACUUUCUGUUCCGAUGAUUCUGAUCAGUGUUCACCACAGGACAGAACUCUGAAGGAUCUUGUUUAUGCUUAUUCCAUCUAAGUAAAUGAUUUGGGUGUUUUCAUCCUGGAUUCACCAAGUCACUAGUGUUCACAUGUGGUUGAGAUCAUAAAUUCAUUUUAAAAGCAUGCUUGGAAUUUUGCAAUUUUACAAUUCGCAGCAAGCACCAGAUAAAUUCAGUACUUUCUAACAAGUAGUAUCUUUAAUCACUCUUACUUAAGCAGGUAAAUGAUGGUUCUUUGUAUAGUAGAUGCAGAACUGUGAUGAAUUCAUUUUUCUGCUCUGUUGUGCCUGUGCUGGUAGCCUCUCCCUGGCUGCAGACAGUGAAGGAGGCUCUUCCCAACCUGGCUUCCUCCACAGGCCACACCCCAACCUGGCUUCCUCCUCAGGCCACACCCCCAACUGGCUUCCUGCCCAGGCUACACCCCCACCUGGCUUCCUUCCCAGGCUACCACCGCCAAGGUCAGCAGAGAGGACAGUCGCCCAGUGCCCCCAGGUGCUCCUCAGGACUAGGCCACACCUCCGCUCGUCUUACCCAGCUUCCUGCUUGUCUGCUACCUCCCAAGCUCCUCUCGCCAGUGGAAUGGCUGGACCUUGGAGUGGACUGCUGCUCUGAAGGCCCUCUCGCCACCGCCUGAAUCCUGCUGCUCUCAGGCUUGAUCAUGAGACUUGCUUUGGCCAACAACCUGCGAGUGGAGGUGAUAUUUGCUGUUUCUGGGCAGAAGCUCUAAGAGCUAGCCCAUAGUUCUCCACGUCCUCUCCCUGAAUCUGUCUUUGUUAGGAUGUCAGCUUGGGUUCUCAGUGAUUCAAAGCUGGUUGUUGACCCAGGAUGGAUGUGCACGAUUUUUAUUGUAUUCUUGCACAGAGAGUACAAGAGCAAUAUCAAGAAACACACAGCUCUAAGCCUCUCUCUUCCAGCCUGGACUUUUAAAUGAGAAAUAAAGCUUCAAACAAAGGAAAGAACAAGAGAUGUAGGAUAAUUUUGUCAAUAGGAAGUUUGUAAUCUAAAGAGAGAGACCAGCCACAAAACUGUAUUAUCUCCUGGGUGCAGCAAUAAGAUACUAUGUAAAAUCCCCGAAUGUGUAGCACAAUGGGCAAAUGCAAGUAGAUAAUAAGGAACAAAAUAUGUCUAAGUAGACCCAAUUCGGAAGUCAAGGCAGGGAGAAUCAGGGCGAAUGGGCAUUUUCAAGAGAGGCUUCUAUCAAUCUUGAGGUAAGGGCUAUUGAUCCCACAGUGGCAUACUCAGAUCAGAGUCUUAAUAGCAUCUUAGAAACAGGAAAACCACUAUGUAUCUUUGCAAAAUACUCACCAUACUAUGCUAUAUAGCAUCAAUUCUGACGGCAGGUAGGUGAAAACUUAGCCCAUUGAUGUUCUGGAUGAGUGUAAAUUCUUUGUUAUUGCUUGAAGGAAACAGCACUGUUGUAGCUUUGGGAGUUUUAUAUUUCCAAGGAUGAUAAAAAGAUCCUUUGCAUAAGGUUUUGCUUUUGCUGUUGUGGAUUCUGAGUCUUGCACCCCAUAUAUCCUACAAAGAGGCUGGAGGUCCCAGGCCAGCAAGAGUUCUGGCGGAGGUGCAGUAGAAGUUGUGUGGCAGAUUAGGGAGGAACUGGGCUUUUCAGUCCUGGUAUUGCCUCUCAUUAGCUCAACAACUUUGGACAAUUCCCACACUUAUUUUACAGUGUGCUUGGAUAUAAGUGUGUAAACCAUGCUUCUAUCGUCUGUAAAUCUGAUGCUUUACUAUCUGCCUCAUGUGUACAUGCUGGACAUGCCUUGCUCUGGGCGGCCCAGUAACGAGCCUCGUCACCUUCCCUGGCCCCUCCCCCCUCGCUCCCUCUCCAGCCCCUUCAGAAGGAGCCCUCUCCCCAGGCACACUUCUGCAGUGCAGACCAGCCAAUCCAGAGUCCAUACCACCAAUCACAUCCUUUCUCAGCCUCUGCCACUUGGGACCCUGCACCUUUGUCCCAGUGACCCCAGGGCUAGAUCCCAGUUAGCGGCAUUUCCUCUGCCCAGAGCACUCAUCAGUCCUAACCCUACUCACUCUGUCUCCUUAGUCCUUUCUGUGGCAAUCGCAAUACACAUCUGGAUCACUGUUCCCCACCCCCUCUGCUUAAUGACCAGCCUGGCACUUGCUCCUCCCUGGACCUGCCUUCCCAGUAGCAGCCGUCUCCUGAUCUGGUGGCCUCACUCUACCUCUGACUUUCUGUUAAUACACUCUAUUGUAAAGCAGGGAGGAACUGACUUAAGUCUGCUUAACUGUCGUGGAGGCUCAGAAGGAUGAGAACAGGGAACUGUAGAGAAUGUUUUUCUAGGUCUCAGGGGCCACUUGGCUCUGCUCUGCUCUGCUCUGCAUACCUGCUAUUCCUUGUGCUUUCAGAGAGCUGGCUUCCUUUGCUGUCCUGAGCAUGAUUCAUUUGAGUUGCCCUUGGCUGACAAGUCUGUUCAAAUCCAGCAUUCAUACCUUACUCCCUUGGGUUUUUCAUGUCCUUCUUCCAAAUCCCUGUGGGAAAAGAAGUCUGAUCUGGCCAGUCCAGGCUUGGAUCAGCUGUCCAUUCAUCAGCUGCAGACAUGCUUACAGACAGGGAGUGGGGGCUGCAGGGCUGUGCACCAAUGUCUAGGACCUCAGGACUUUUGCAGUAUUUUUCAAAAAAGCAUUUAAAGCGAUUCCAUAACAAGAAAAAAAAACCCAUAAAUAACUGAAAAGACGGCAAAUCAUUAUUCUUCAAAGGCAGAUUUGCUUGGUCAGAUAGUUCAUUUCCCAAAGAACAAAAAUAAAAUCAAGUGCUCUAGAAUAUUAUUAAGCCCAGUCUCCUAUUAGAAAUUAUAAAUUGAAGACUUCCCAGAGUUCUAAAGCAAAUUCUGAAAAGAAGUCAUACCUAUCAUUUACAUUAUAAGUAAACAAUAUAGUUUAUUGUUGGAAGUUCCAGGAAAGCUAAAACUUGGAACUUAUUUAGCAGUAAAGGAAGAAUUGUUUCAGAGACUAAGUUGAACGGUUACGGAAGUCUAGCAAAUAUGUAAAGGUAACAGCAUGUGUGUGUAUUAGAGUUUGGAAGGACUGGAGGUCAGGGUGAAGGGAUUUAAAGUAGUUUGGCUAAAAUAAUCUAACAUUAGAACUUCUAUUUUCAAAAGGGAUGAUUGAACGAUUUUGGUUUCAAGAGGCAUUCUGUAUAUGAUGAAGUACAGUGGUGCUCCUUUGUUAUGGGCCGAAUGUUUGUGUCCCCCCAGAUUCAUAAGUUGAACUCCAGCCCCCAGCCUGGCCGCGUUUGGAGAUGGGAAUUCUUAGGAAGUUAAGUGAGCUCUAAGGGUGGGGUCCCCGCCUCAUAGGAAUAGUGUCUUCUACGAGGAGACACCAGAGGGCGCUCUCGAUGCUCCCACUCCGAGGAAAGGCGAGGGGAGGACCCAGCGAGAAGGUGACCGGCGGCCUGCAAGGGGAAAGAGCCCUCAUCAGGAAUUGCAUCAGCCAGCACCUUGAUCUUGGACUUCUAGCCUUCAGAACUAUGAGGAAAUGAAUUUCUGCUGUUUAUGUCACUCGAUCUACAGUAUUUUGUCAUAACAGCCCAAAAUGCAAUUCAUACAAAAGGAAGUAUUUCAGAGAAGACUAUCAUGACUUUUUUUUGGCCAAGCCUGUGGAAGUUCCUUGGCCAGCAGUAGCCCUGUGAUCAGUGACAAAGCCAAGUCCUUAACCUCUAGGGCACCAGGGUUUAUGGUGAAACUGGAGCAGUGAAUUCUGGUGGAAUUACUUGGGAAUACAGGCAUAUGCAUGACAGUCUGGGGAAGCCAUGUUUGUGUUGUUCGAGGUGAAGAAUUAUCAUCAAUAUGCUGCUUACAUCAUAGGCUGUCCAGUGAAGAUGAAGUUUCCAACAAGGGCCUAGAAGCUCAUGAGCAUAAAGUGCUGGUGCCCUCUCAGGAAGGCUGUGAGCUGGAAGUCACUGUAUCCAUGGAGUGUGGAAAAUUCCAUCCUGAUAUGAGCCUGCAAUACCCUCCAGGGAACUAAUCUAAGAAGCUUGGCAGGUGGGGCAGGAACUCUUAGGUGGGGGUGGUUUCUCUGUGGGGCAAGUGACAGAGUCAUGGUCAGGGAGGCCCUUCUGGUAAGAGAAGUGUCAUGGUUACGGUGACUCUGAGUGUAAGAUGUGUUGGCAAAUGGAAGAGAGAAUGGCUGGAUUAAGAACUAGCUGGGUUGAAACUAGGGGAAAUUGAUUGGGAUGAAAGGGUUGGCCUCCCCUUUAGAAAGGGGCUAAAAGUCCAAAUCACCAGGGCUACAAAGACAUGGCAGACUUUAAUCUACUCUUUCCCCAAGGGCCCAAAAGCUCUAAGGAGGGCUUGUCUAAGGUCCUGGCCCAAAACACAUCAGACCUCCCUGGAUGUCCUGAACCGGCACCUAUAGGAGAAGGGCUUGAGAUUCUUUGGGGUUUUUUGUUUGUUUGUUUUGUUUUGUUUGGUCUUUUUAGGGCCACACCCCAGGCUAGGAGUCUAAUCGUAGCUACAGCUGCUGGCAACGGAGGAUCCGAGCUGUGUCUACAA